CGUGUGGGACUCAGGACCCCAAGGGCCCAGGACGUGGGCGCAGCGGCUGAGGGUGAAGAAAGGCUGCCUCGGGGACACAGGACACUCACAGGGCAGCUCGCAUCACGGCCCUUUAACAGUCUAAGGUCAAAGCUCUUUCUCAGUAAACUGCAAGUUUCUAAGCCGCAAGGGGUUCUGUAAACCAGGGCGUGCAAAGGUCCGGGGGCACGCAGGGAACGCCGCGCGAGGCCGUGUGCGGCCGUCAGUGUCGGGUGGCGCCCUCGGCCGCGAUCUGGGAAGCGCUCGCGCCCCAGGAAGUCGGAGAGGAAGGGGCGCAUGAAUAGAGGAAGAGCCUACAUUUUCCAGGGGAGCCGAUGGCUAGGUUCUCGCGCGAGCCCGUUAACACGCGCACUCGAGCUCUUCCAAGACGUGUGCCCCGCGCCGCGUUCCCCUGGGCGGCUCCCGGAUGGCCGCGGGCGGGCUCAGAGUUCGGGUCUCUUUUGGAAAAGAGCUGGUCCUGAAUGACAGAUGCACCCCUGAGACUAUUUUGGGAAAGCGAAGGAAGCAGGCCGGAGGCUGCAGGCGAAUGCGGUCCCGCAGAGAAGGGUGCAGGGGGCCGUGGGCUCCCCGAGGCGAGCACCGUGCAGACACCGGUGCGGGCUCGGGGGGUCCUGGGCCGGGACAGGCCGACCACAGAGUUCGGCGGCCGAAGCAAAACUGAAGUUGACUUGUGUCAGAAGAUCGACAUCCCCAGAUCGAAGCUAGAGGUGAACCAGAGCAGUCGUAGGAAAACAACAACAACAACAAAGAGACUAUCCUUUUCUUUGCAAUUUGGAUAUGCUGCAAACACGAUGAGCAGCUUUCUGACUGGGAUCGGAAAGGAGGUGGAAGAUCCUUGUUACCAUCAUAACAGUAAGAAUUAGACAUUAUAAAAGGGGUAUUUAUCUAGGAAGCUGUUGAAGAGAUGUGGAAGCAAGAAAACGCCCAACGGACUGAUCUUCAGAGAGAGGUCACCUUACCCGUGAGGAAGGAAGCAACACUGGAGAAGAAAGCUUGGCAGCGUUCAGAGAGACGAGGAAGCGAUGUCGGGGGCGGGCUGGGGUGCUGGGGUCUCGAGACUCUCAAAUGCAGCAAUAAUUUACUUGACCUAAAAAUUCUCCCUAGCUUCCCAGUCUCCUUGUGCUGAGAAAAGGGGAAGUGCGGGUGGGACCGUCAAAUAGAAGAGUCUAGUCUCACGUCUUCUUGUGAUUUUACCCUGUCUCAAAAGAUGAAACGUGUCUAACUCCCGCCAGGCUCCAGGAUUGAAUAUUGAUGAGACCAAAGAAAUCAGACUUGGCGAGAAGCACUGUAGCUCUGGGAGGACAGGACGGUUGAAAGGCAAGGUCAAUUUUAAACACUUGCCUAGGCUAACGUUCAUGUUAUACUUAAGACAAUCGGAGCAGUCACCUCCUCACUUCAGCAGCCCUGCACUGGAAAGAGAUUGCAUGUUCUUAGAAAUAAAAACAAAGCAAAAGAGCUGAAUUAUUAUUUU
rnacentral:lncRNA from 12 species